rnacentral:rRNA from 1 species
CCUACGGGCGGCAGCAGUAGGGAAUCUUCCACAAUGGACGAAAGUCUGAUGGAGCAACGCCGCGUGAGUGAAGAAGGGUUUCGGCUCGUAAAGCUCUGUUGGUAGUGAAGAAAGAUAGAGGUAGUAACUGGCCUUUAUUUGACGGUAAUUACUUAGAAAGUCACGGCUAACUACGUGCCAGCAGCCGCGGUAAUAAGUAGGUGGCAAGCGUUGUCCGGAUGUAUUGGGCGUAAAGCGAUUGCAGGCGGUUCAAUAAGUCUGAUGUGAAAGCCUUCGGCUCAACCGGAGAAUUGCAUCAGAAACUGUUGAACUUGAGUGCAGAAGAGGAGAGUGGAACUCAAUGUGUAGCGGUGGAAGGCGUAGAUAUAUGGAAGAACACCAGUGGCGAAGGCGGCUCUCUGAUCUGCAACUGACGCUGAGGCUCGAAAGCAUGGGUAGCGAACAGGAUUAGAUACCCUUGUAGUC